UGGGGAAUUUUGGACAAUGGGCGAAAGCCUGAUCCAGCAAUGCCGCGUGUGUGAAGAAGGCCUUCGGGUUGUAAAGCACUUUUGUCCGGAAAGAAAUCCUUGGCUCUAAUACAGUCGGGGGAUGACGGUACCGGAAGAAUAAGCACCGGCUAACUACGUGCCAGCAGCCGCGGUAAUACGUAGGGUGCAAGCGUUAAUCGGAAUUACUGGGCGUAAAGCGUGCGCAGGCGGUUUGCUAAGACCGAUGUGAAAUCCCCGGGCUCAACCUGGGAACUGCAUUGGUGACUGGCAGGCUAGAGUAUGGCAGAGGGGGGUAGAAUUCCACGUGUAGCAGUGAAAUGCGUAGAGAUGUGGAGGAAUACCGAUGGCGAAGGCAGCCCCCUGGGCCAAUACUGACGCUCAUGCACGAAAGCGUGGGGGAGCAAAACAGGAUUAGAUACCCUGGUAGUCCACGCCCUAAACGAUGUCAACUAGUUGUUGGGGAUUCAUUUCCUUAGUAACGUAGCUAACGCGUGAAGUUGACCGCCUGGGGAGUACGGUCGCAAGAUUAAAACUUAAAGGAAUUG
rnacentral:rRNA from 1 species